UGCAAGUCGAACGAGAAUCUGCGGAAAGAGGAUUCGUCCAAUUGAAGCAGAGGACAGUGGCGGACGGGUGAGUAACGCGUGAGGAACCUGCCUUUCAGAGGGGGACAACAGUUGGAAACGACUGCUAAUACCGCAUGACAUAUAGAUGUCGCAUGGCAUUUAUAUCAAAGAUUUAUCGCUGAAAGAUGGCCUCGCGUCUGAUUAGCUAGUUGGUGAGGUAACGGCCCACCAAGGCGACGAUCAGUAGCCGGACUGAGAGGUUGAACGGCCACAUUGGGACUGAGAUACGGCCCAGACUCCUACGGGAGGCAGCAGUGGGGAAUAUUGGGCAAUGGGCGCAAGCCUGACCCAGCAACGCCGCGUGAAGGAAGAAGGCUUUCGGGUUGUAAACUUCUUUUGUCAGGGACGAGUAGAAGACGGUACCUGACGAAUAAGCCACGGCUAACUACGUGCCAGCAGCCGCGGUAAUACGUAGGUGGCAAGCGUUGUCCGGAUUUACUGGGUGUAAAGGGCGUGUAGCCGGGAGGGCAAGUCAGAUGUGAAAUCCACGGGCUCAACUCGUGAACUGCAUUUGAAACUACUCUUCUUGAGUAUCGGAGAGGCAAUCGGAAUUCCUAGUGUAGCGGUGAAAUGCGUAGAUAUUAG
rnacentral:rRNA from 1 species